rnacentral:lncRNA from 1 species
UUGCUGCUAUUUUUACUUGCUGAGCUCCUUAUUAUACUGAAAUAAAGAUGAAAAGCUAACUGCUAAACCUAUCAAUUGUGAGUUACAAGAUACAUAUCUAUAAACCUUCGAAAUCUUGAUCGGGAGUCUUGGUUAGUUCUUCCCACAAACUCUGACCUGAACCUUGAUAAUUGUUAAUUAUGGCUGCUGAUUCAUUCUUCUUCAGCUUUUCGGAUCGAGGCUGGACUUGGAAAGCUUGUGACAUCAAUCACGUCUUGAGCAGUCCAUAUCUUUUCAUUGUUUUCGCUCUUUGAGUUCAACUUCUUUCUUUAUUCUUCCUUCCUCUUCUUUUGGUCAUCUCAAACCAUGUGCCUCAUGGUAAAAACAUUUUCAAGCACCAAAGCAAACAAAAGAACGAAAUUUUCUGCCCUAGUUUUCACAAGAAAAAUUUCGUGAGUUAUUUGUAACAAAAUCUAAACUAUUUCUUUAUUGAAAGCAAUAAAAUUCGGAUAAAGUAUCCUUGGAAAAAGGAGAUUACGGAGUGGAGCACUAUGUGUAUAAUGAAAUCACCUAGGGAGUGGAGACCCUAUGUUGGAAAAGAGACCAGUGAAUGGAGACCCUAUAUCUAAACUAAAAUCAACUAGGAAGUGGAGACUCUAUAUUAGAAAAGCGACUAGGGAGUGGAGAUCCUAUGUCUAAAAUAAAAUAAACUAGGGAGUGGAGACCCAAUGUUGGAAAAGCGACUAGGGAGUGUAGAUCCUAUGUCUAAAAUAAAAUCAACUACAUAAUGGAGACCCAAUAUUGGUAAAGCGACUUGGGAGUGGAGACCCUAUGUCUAAAAUGACUUCAACUAGGGAGUGGACACCCCAUGUUGGAAAAGGACUAGGGAGUAGACCCUAUGUCUAAAAUAAAAUCAACUAGGGAGUAGAGACCCUAUGUUGGAAAAAUGACUAGGGAGUGGAGACCCUUUGUCUAAAAUAACUUCAACUAGGGAGUGGUGACCCUGCGUUGGAAAAGCGAUUAGGGAGUGGAGACCCUAUGUCUAAAAUAAAAUUAACUAGAGAGUGGAGAAACUAUGUUGGAAAAGCGAUUAGGGAGUGGUGACCCUAGGUCUUAAACAAAAUCAACUAGGGAGUGGAGACCCUAUGUUGGAAAAGCAACUAGGGAGUGGAGACCCUAUGUCUAAAAUUACUUCAACUAGGGAGUGGAGACCCGAUGUUGGAAAAGCGACUAGGGAGUGUUACACCUCCUUUUUACUUACACAUGGCUACCCCGAAGGAUGACACGUGUAUAGGAGUUUUUCCAAUUAAAGUGACUUCGAAAUGGGAUUAAUCUUUUAUUCAAGAGUCGCCACUUGGAAUAAGUUUGACUUUUGGUGUCUCAAGUCACCGAUUUAUUUAAAAUUCCAAAUCCAGGAUAUUUUGACUGCCCAAAGGAGUCUGCGAACCAGAAAUUCUAAGUAAGGAAUUCUGUUGACCCGAGGAAGCUAUUAGGGACCCUCGGUUCCCGUGGUUCUAGCAAGGUCGCUUAAACUCUUAUAAUUGGCUAACAAUUCUGAUUUUGUACAUGUUCCACCUAUAGUGUAAUUUUAAAUUUUAAACCGCUUUAACUUAAUUGAUUAAAGAAAGAUUGCAACACUAUACAAAUAUGUCUCGAAUCGCGUCACAUAAAUGCGCCCGCGAUCUUCGACAUAUUUUAACAUUGUUGAGAUUUUGGAUUUGGGUCACAUAAAUGCACAUCCGAAUUUACAAUUACGUAUCAUAAUUAGGUCAUGGGGACCGUACAAUAAUCACAAUAGUUUGAUUUAUUAGGCGCAUGCUUAAAGCAUUUUCAACGAAUGCUUCAAGUGUUGAUUGUUUCGUAUGCACUUGAAUUUAUUUGUAAAAAUCUAAAAGUUUAGGAAGUUUUUCGGAAGGAAAGAAGUGGAUUGAUUAUGUUAGGAGGAUCUAGUUUGUGAAUUGUCAUAAAAACAGGCUAACUCUAAAAUAGAUCAACAAUGUUAUUAUUGAUAUGGGCCUACCAUAAUUUCUGUUUUUUAGCCAAAAUUCUUUUACUCCAAAAUUAAACCCAUAAUCAAUAUGAAAGUCCAAACCUUUAACUUACUCCUUGCAACUUUCCCCAUAUAUUUAUAUUAGAUUAAAAUAUUCUUGCAAAAAAGAAAAAAACAAACUAAAAAUCUAAUCAACGUUUAAACAAAGAAAAAUCAAAAGAAACAGUGGCAUGAUUUCAUGUAAUUAUUAAAUAAGAUAUAAUAACAGUAAAAGAAAGAAGCAACAGUGGGACUCGAACUGAACAUCAAUUCAAACAAUAAUAGGCCUUCUUAAAUGCAUAAAGCUCUAUUUUUAACUUUAAACAAAGAUUCAGUAUAGAAAUGACAAAAUUAAGCAAUAGGAUAUCAUUUAAGCUCAUUCAACUGCUAAACAGAUUCAACAAAGAAAUUAAACAAAAGCGACAUGUAGAGUGAUAUCAAUCAAACGGGGAAUAGAUAAACAGAAGUAGACCUGAAUAGACUUGCGAGAAAAAGAAACGAACAUAAUUGGUGGAAUCCAACAAUCCACAGGAACGGUGACCUCCAAACGGACCUCACAUCUAUUGGGUUUGGAUGGUUCUUUCAAGCUACUUUUCGUGCCGGUUUGGGGUUGAUUAAGGUUUUUUUUAAGCUAGUUUCAAACUAAAAUUUGUGGAGAAUUUUACUUAUUUUUCAGUGAAGAAGCAGUUGAGUUUCUGCUGUUGUGAGGAAUUUCUCAGCUCACUUCCAUGGCUUAGGUAGCUUUGUUGAAAGAGAGAAAGAGCAUCAAUGGGCGUAGGAAAUGGAGCACAAUUUUUUGAGGGUGAGAAUGAAGAGAGACCCCCCUUUUGUGCUAGCUGCUC